CNGCAGGUCGACGAUUCCUACGGGAGGCAGCAGUGGGGAAUUUUGGACAAUGGGGGCAACCCUGAUCCAGCCAUUCCGCGUGAGUGAAGAAGGCCUUCGGGUUGUAAAGCUCUUUCGGCAGGAACGAAACGGCGAGCUCUAACAUAGCUCGCUAAUGACGGUACCUGAAGAAGAAGCACCGGCUAACUACGUGCCAGCAGCCGCGGUAAUACGUAGGGUGCGAGCGUUAAUCGGAAUUACUGGGCGUAAAGCGUGCGCAGGCGGUUGUGUAAGACAGGUGUGAAAUCCCCGGGCUUAACCUGGGAACUGCGCUUGUGACUGCACGGCUAGAGUAUGGCAGAGGGGGGUGGAAUUCCACGUGUAGCAGUGAAAUGCGUAGAGAUGUGGAGGAACACCGAUGGCGAAGGCAGCCCCCUGGGCCAAUACUGACGCUCAUGCACGAAAGCGUGGGGAGCAAACAGGAUUAGAUACCCUGGUAGUCCACGCCCUAAACGAUGUCGACUAGGUGUUCGGUGAGGAGACUCAUUGAGUACCGCAGCUAACGCGUGAAGUCGACCGCCUGGGGAGUACGGUCGCAAGAUUAAAACUCAAAGGAAUUGACGG
rnacentral:rRNA from 1 species